CCCUUAGACGUUCUGGGCCGCACGCGCGCUACACUGACCAGUGCAACAAGCAUCCGUCCUUGGCCGACAGGCCCGGGCAAUCUUUGAACGCUGGUCGUGAUGGGGAUAGACUUUUGCAAUUUUUGGUCUUCAACGAGGAAUUCCUAGUAAACGCAAGUCAUCAACUUGCAUUGAUUACGUCCCUGCCCUUUGUACACACCGCCCGUCGCUCCUACCGAUUGAAUGGUCCGGUGAAGCGUUCGGACCGUGGCCUUUGGACGGUUCGCCGUCUGUUGGCUGCGGGAAGUUCGUUAAACCUUAUCAUUUAGAGGAAGGAGAAGUCGUANCA
rnacentral:rRNA from 1 species